CCUACGGGUGGCAGCAGUGGGGAAUAUUGCACAAUGGGGGAAACCCUGAUGCAGCGACGCCGCGUGAGUGAAGAAGUAAUUCGUUACGUAAAGCCCUUUUAGCAGGGAAGAGGAAGGACGGUACCUGCAGAGGAAGCCACGGCUAACUACGUGCCAGCAGCCGCGGUAAUACGUAGGUGGCAAGCGUUGUUCGGAAAAACUGGGCGUAAAGGAUGCGUAGGCGGUUAAACAAGUUAUAUGUUAAAUAUAUAGGCUUAACCUGUAGAAAGCAUAUAAAACUGUUUAACUAGAGUGCAGGAGAGGUAAGUGGAAUUCCUAGUGUAGCGGUGAAAUGCGUAGAGAUUAGGAAGAACACCAGUGGCGAAGGCGACUUACUGGACUGUAACUGACGCUGAGGCAUGAGAGCAUGGGGAGCAAACAGGAUUAGAUACCCGGGUAGUC
rnacentral:rRNA from 1 species